CCAGAGAACUUAGCAGAGAUGCUUUGGUUCCUUCGGGAACUCUGAGACAGGUGCUGCAUGGCUGUCGUCAGCUCGUGUUGUGAAAUGUUGGGUUAAGUCCCGCAACGAGCGCAACCCUUAUCCUUUGUUGCCAGCGGUCCGGCCGGGAACUCAAAGGAGACUGCCAGUGAUAAACUGGAGGAAGGUGGGGAUGACGUCAAGUCAUCAUGGCCCUUACGAGUAGGGCUACACACGUGCUACAAUGGCGCAUACAAAGAGAAGCGACCUCGCGAGAGCAAGCGGACCUCAUAAAGUGCGUCGUAAUCCGGAUUGGAGUCUGCAACUCGACUCCAUGAAGUCGGAAUCGCUAGUAAUCGUAGAUCAGAAUGCUACGGUGAAUACGUUCCCGGGCCUUGUACACACCGCCCGUCACACCAUGGGAGUGGGUUGCAAAAGAAGUAGGUAGCUUAACCUUCGGGAGGGCGCUUACCACUUUGUGAUUCAUGACUGGGGUGAAGUCGUAACAAGGUAGGCGUAGCGAG
rnacentral:rRNA from 1 species